rnacentral:rRNA from 1 species
GAUGAACGCUGGCGGCGUGCCUAAUACAUGCAAGUCGAGCGAACAGAUGAGGAGCUUGCUCCUCUGACGUUAGCGGCGGACGGGUGAGUAACACGUGGAUAACCUACCUAUAAGACUGGGAUAACUUCGGGAAACCGGAGCUAAUACCGGAUAAUAUAUUGAACCGCAUGGUUCAAUAGUGAAAGACGGUUUUGCUGUCACUUAUAGAUGGAUCCGCGCCGCAUUAGCUAGUUGGCAAGGUAACGGCUUACCAAGGCAACGAUGCGUAGCCGACCUGAGAGGGUGAUCGGCCACACUGGAACUGAGACACGGUCCAGACUCCUACGGGAGGCAGCAGUAGGGAAUCUUCCGCAAUGGGCGAAAGCCUGACGGAGCAACGCCGCGUGAGUGAUGAAGGUCUUCGGAUCGUAAAACUCUGUUAUUAGGGAAGAACAAAUGUGUAAGAAACUAUGCACGUCUUGACGGUACCUAAUCAGAAAGCCACGGCUAACUACGUG